rnacentral:rRNA from 1 species
AGUGAACGCUGGCGGUAGGCCUAACACAUGCAAGUCGAACGGCAGCACAGGAGAGCUUGCUCUCUAGGUGGCGAGUGGCGGGCGGGUGAGGAAUACAUCGGAAUCUGCCCAGUCGUGGGGGAUAACGUAGGGAAACUUACGCUAAUACCGCAUACGACCUUCGGGUGAAAGAGGGGGAUCGCAAGACCUCUCGCGAUUGGAUGAGCCGAUGUCGGAUUAGCUAGUUAGCGGGGUAAUGGCCCACCAAGGCGACGAUCCGUAGCUGGUCUGAGAGGAUGAUCAGCCACACUGGAACUGAGACACGGUCCAGACUCCUACGGGAGGCAGCAGUGGGGAAUAUUGGACAAUGGGCGCAAGCCUGAUCCAGCCAUACCGCGUGGGUGAAGAAGGCCUUCGGGUUGUAAAGCCCUUUUGUUGGGAAAGAAAUCUUUCAGGCUAAUACCCUGGGAGGAUGACGGUACCCAAAGAAUAAGCACCGGCUAACUUCGUG